AUAUAUGUAUAUGUUUAUAUAUGGGGUAUUCCAUGUCAAAUCGACCAUUUUUGAACUCGACCCCUUCAGAUUUCGCUGAAACUUUUUCAUUCUUUUCUACCCUUUGAAAAACGCUUUUGAGAAUUUUUUCAAAUUUUUUUGACCAACCCAAAAAAAGUUAUGAAUUUUAAAAAAAAAUGGCUCUUUUAUUUUCAAAUAGCCAUAACUUUUUUUGACAUUGACUUUUGGGUACCUUUUUUUUUUUUAAAUUUUUGUUUUUGAAUGAACUUUUUGAAAAAUUACACAAAAAAAAUUAAAUACGUUAAAUUUAACGAAAUAAUCGGAUUUUUCGAAUAAAAUCGUGAUUUUUUCAAAUCACGUCGAGUUUUUUUUUUUUUUUAUUUUUCAAAAAAAAACUUCAAUUAAUUUGACAACUAUUUCCGUGAAGCCCGGAAUGGGCCGAAUUUUUUUUUUAUUUUUUUUUUUAAUUGAAAAAAAAAUGUCAAAUUUUCAAAAAUUAACAAAAUUUUUUUUUUUCGUAAAAAUUACUUCUAUAACUGAAUAAGUCCGAUCCAUCGAUUUUUAUAAAUUAUA